CUUGUCCCAUGAUUAACUCCAGAAUGUCCUGUGUGCUUUUGGUAUGAUCAUUAUGCUGGACUCACAUGAGAGAUGGAAAAGAUGGGGAAACUGAGUGCUAGAAAUCCAAGGUUCAUAAAGUUGGAUUCCCCAAAUGAUAAACACAUAAAAGAUAAUGGCAAAUGAAAUACAAACUACUUUUAAUUACUUGCCAAACUCUUACCUCAAAUGCCAAUGAAAAUGAUUACAACAAUCUGUGGAGUGGCAGAUACUUUAACUUAAAUGCUAAAAUUUGAAAUGCACCAGACUUGAGGGACUCUCCCUUCUCUUAAGUUAAAACCCAAACAUGCACUUCUGAAAUUUCAUCAAAGACAAAAAAGUACAUCUUAUGAACUGAAUGUUUGUAUCCACCUCAAAGUUCACAUGUUGAAAGUUCUACCCCUCAAGGUGAUGGUUUUAGGAGGUACAACCUUUGAGAGGUGAUUAGGUCACUAAAGUAGAGCCUUCAGGAAUGGGAUUUGUUUUCUCAUAGAAGAGACCCUAAAAGCGUAUUGACUGUUCUACCAUGUGAGGACAUGGCAAGAAGGCACUAGAAAGUGGACCUUCACCAGACACUGAAUCUGCUGAAAACUUGAUCGUGGACUUUGCAGCCCCCGGAACUGUGGGCAAUAUAUUACCAUUGUUUAUAAGUCACCCAGUUUAUGGUAUUUUGUUACAGCAGCCUGAAUAGACUAAGACAGUGCAUGAAUGCGUACCAGCCAGCUUAAGAAAAAUAAUAUAGGACUUUUACGGGAGACCUUGUGGCAUUUUACAUAUCUUGAUGGACACAUGAGGGAAGAAAGACUAGCCUCUUGUAAAUGACAUUUAAAUAAUCAGUGACCGUUCUCUUUAUUAAAUAUGGCUGAAUCCCUUUCUUAGAAUAUGACACAUCAUAUAAACAAUACUUGAUAAACUAGAGACUUAAUGAAUAAUUGAAAAACAAAUAUAUUUUCCUUUCUAUAGACUUUCAAGGUUGGAUAUGAAAAAGAAAAAUUAAUGAAAAAAAUGACAUUCCCAAAUAGAAUUUACAGAAUUCACAAACUAUCAAUAACCUUUAUUAAAUAAUCAAAUACAAACCUUAGUUAUUUCAUUUUGGAUAUGGUAGAACAGUCAAUCCAAAUGUGAUCAGCUCAUCAUAUAUCAAAUAUAUGUUACAUGAAAUGUAAUCAAGAACUCUGAAAUUUUACUUAAUUCUAUUUCUAGAAAUAUCUAAUUAAUUAAUGUUUUAGAGACACCGUCUCACUGUCUCUAGGCUGGAGUGCCAUGGUGCCAAUGUAGCUCACUGCAGCCUUGAACUCCUGGGCUCAAGCAAUCCUCCCACCUCAGACCCCUCAGUAUCUGGGAUUACAGGUGUCUUAAUUGUCAACAUGAUAGUAUUAAGCAGUGGGGCCAUUGGAGGGUGAUUAAGUUAUGAGAGCACAGCCUUCAUGAUUGGGAUUAGUCAACUUAUAAAAGAGAUGCAAGAGAGCUGUUUGCCCCUUUUCCCACGUGAGAACACAGUAAGAGUCACCAUCUAUGAAGCAUAGUAUGAGCCUUCACCAGACAGCUAAUCUACUCAUAACUUGACAGUGAACUUCCCAGACUCCAAAACUGUGAGAAAUAAAUUUCUAUAAUUUAUAAAUUACCCAGUCUAAAGUAUUUUGUUAUAUCAGCCUGGAUGGACUAAGAUUAUAUUUAUAUGUAUAUACAAUGUAUACAUGUGUAUAUAUAAACAUACGUACAUACAAUGCAUACAUGUAUAUAUAUAAAUGCACAUGCACAUAUAUAUGGAAAUAAUAUUCUUUAUAUAUGUCUAGGAAAAUCUCUUGGAGAACUGAAAAAUAAGCACACAUACACAUAUACACCAAGCUUAUGGACAGUAGAAUGUUUUAAGAAAGAGCUAUGAUGUCUAGUUUGGAAGCAAAUGAGAAGAUCCUAUUCUUAUUUAGGAGAUAUAAAAAUAACUAAAUAGAUAAAAAUGACUGAAUUAGGAAAAAGACUGAAUGCCAUGGGCUGAUUGUUAAGAGACAUGCUUGAAUGUUUGGAAUAUCCACAAACUUAUGUUUAUUUAAUGUAAGCAGUUAGCCUUCUGAUUCUCAUAUUCCACAUAUCCACAAAUAAGACUCAAAACUUUAUUCUGUAUUAUCAAAACACAAAACAAAUGUAAAUGGAAUUUAAAAGCCAAAGAUGCUACAAAGAUUUUGACUACAUGAUGACAUCAAAAAGACAAUGAAGUUGAUAUUGAAUAAGACAAAGGACAAAAUGUGAUGUAACAGAUAUCAUCAAUACUCUACCAAGCUCUCCUUGGAUCCUUCAUGCAGGCCCUGCGUGCUCUGCUCUGUCUUCUGUGUGAUUCGUUUCUAACAGUGAGCACCUGUGACUAACUUUGAGGAUGACUGUUGCAUUAUCACAGCACUUGCUUGGAAGGUGCAGAUACUCAAAAGUAUUAGACAGUCUUUAUCUGCCUGUGACUGUUCUUAGCCAAUGACUCUCUAUUGUAGGAGUUUCAACGCCUAGCUCCUUGGCCACAAGUACACAAAUUCCAAUAAUAAGCUACACAAGAGCUUUCCCCAGGGGCUUCCCUCAAGCAUUCUUCCUUGAAAUCGCUCAAUUGCUUCGCAUCCUCUUCUGCUCUGUCCUAAUCUCCUAUUACCUUACUAGAUUGUUCUGGAAAGUCAUGAGGACAUAGUUAUCUCAGGGUCUUCUUUUGGGAAACUCAAAAUAAGACAGAUGAUGAUUCCUCCUAUUAUAUAUCACUUUACGGUUUUCUUUAUUAUAUUACUUUAUCUUCAAUUCAUCUUGUGAGGUGUUUAUUUCAAAAAUGGAAAAGGUGACCCUAUAAAGAUUAAGUGAUUAACCUGAUAUCAUACAACAAUUCAAGUGCAAAGUCAAAACUUGAACCUUUCUCAGAAUGUUAGAAUAUAUAUAUAUUUUCAGUGACAUCUAUCCAAGUGUAUAUUAUUACAGAACACUUUAGUUUGCAAGAUAGCUCCCCUUGUUUGAUUGGAAAAUCUUGGCUUAAUAUCAAACACCAUGGAGAUAUAAGAAAAAACAACAAUUUUAGGGAAAGAUAAGUUUAUUUUACUUGCAUAUAAUAUCUGAAGAUGUAAGAUCUUAUGAAAUAAAAUUUUUAACAAAUUGUCUUAUUUGUUACUAAUAGUAAGUGUCAAGUUGAAUGACCCUUAAAUAAAAGAAAAACAUGGAUAAAUUACAUUUCUCCAAGAGACAAUAAAAACAUCCUUUUUAAGUAUCUAUCACUCUAUCCAAUCUGAUGGACACUUAAAAUAUCACCUCUAGUGAUUGCAUUUGAAAGAAAAUUACUUGAACAUUUUAAUCUUUUAUAAGUUUAUAAGUAAUAAACUGAAAAUCUAAAGACAUUGAUUAAAUAAAUG
rnacentral:lncRNA from 10 species